rnacentral:lncRNA from 1 species
CGCUUGGGCAGCUGGGGCGCCAAGAAUCACUUGAACCCGGGGCGGAGGCUGUAGUGAGCCGAGAUUGCGCCGCUGCACUCCAGCCUGGGCGACAGAGCGAGAUUCUGUCUCAAAAAAAAAAAAAAAAAAAGAACAUAGAGCUUCGGAGUCAAGAAGAUGGGAAUUGGGAAUUGGAAUUUCAGUAAUGGUCUCUCAGUUUCUUAGCCAUGUGACCUCAGGGAGCUCGUUGAGGCUGUUUCCUCGUCUGCGAAAUAAGGUACUACAAUCGGCUUUACGGCGUCACGCAGCAAGAGCAGAGGUAACAUUUAGGGCCGUCAUUAACGCUAUGGCAGGAGCGCGGAUGAUUCCAGCCCAGGGCCCGGCAGAGAGGGCGCUCUGUAGCACAGUGAGGUCUGAGAGUCCGCGUCUUGGCAUCUAAUUGAAUGUCUACUACGAUGUGGGUGGGUUCCAGCUCUCUCAGAAGCAGAUCCUGAGAGAAGGACUGAAGUGCAAGCAGCUAUGUGGGAGGUGAUCCCAGGAAACGCCUGUAGGGGAGAGGAAAAUGGAGCCGCCCAAGUCCCUGCAGGGACUUCACUGAGAAAUAAAUGACUGAGGCUUCCGCUGUGGACAACCGGGCUCAAGCCUGUUGGGACCUUCACGUCGACUGCUUGGCUGUGAUGUUUGGAGCUGGCACAGUCAUCUUGUCUCCUUGAAGCAUAACAUCAUCAACAUGCUGAGGAUGGAAGAGCAGAGAGCUGAAAGGAGCCGGGGCCCUGGUGAGCAUGUUUAAUUAGCAGAUCCCAACGGCAGAACCUAAGACACCAGAGGAAAAGUUCUCCCUCUUCUACAGUUCCUUGCUGCCCAAGCCAUCUUAUUUAAUAGGCAUACAAAGAAUCAGAAAUAAGAAUACCAUAAGACAUCUCAACAGCAAUAUGGAAAGUUAGAAUAUAGCAAAAUAUAUCUUCAAAGCUCAAAAAGACUACCAAUCACCAGUUGUGGUUUGUGAUUUGGACAGAUGAGGGUUUGGAUUCCAGACAUCCCAUCUUUGAGAAUGAACACACCACUAAUCUUAGGCAAGCUACUCAACCUUGUUCUCCACUGUGGACAAUCAAGUGAUAUAACCCAACUCACAGGAUUGUUUGGGUCAUUAAGUGAAAUAAAGUGUGUCAACUCCCCAUUAGUAUCUGGGACAUGGUAAUUGAUUAAUGUAUAGAGAUAGGUUUAGUGUUAUCAAGAUUUAUAGGCCAGGCUUGGUGGCUCAUGCCUGUAAUCCUAGCACUUUGGGAGGCCAAAGCGGGUGAAUCACCUGAGGCCAGGAGUUCUAGACCAGACUGGCCAACAUGGUGAAGCCCCAUCUCUACUAAAAAUACAAAAAUUAGCCAGGCAUGGUGGCGGGUGCCUGUAAUCCCAGCUACUUGGGAGGCUGAGGCAGGAGAAUCACUUGAACCCAGGAGGUGGAGGUUGCAGUG